CAUCAGAGGACCAUGGCCCCGUAUCACCUGGGUCAGGCACUGAAGCUGGGACAGGAGAGCAGAGACUUCCAAAAUGAGGGAUCCCUGUGUUCUGAGGUGAUCAUGACUGGGACCCAAGGACUCAAGCGCAUGCUCCAGAGGGAAUCGUUUCCCACAAGGCCUUUGGCAGGAACAGGGAUCCUGGGAGCCUGCCAAGCAGAGCGCACAGUGUUCCUGGAGUCUCGCUGCCCAGAUGCCACGGAAUCAGUUGAAGCCAGGUCUCCAGCUGGGGUGGACGUGCCCACCAGCUGCCGAAGGCCAAGACGCCAGGUCCGGUGGACGUGACAAGCAGGACAUGACAUGGUCCGGUGUGACGGCGAGGACAGAGGAGGCGCGUCCGGCCUUCCUGAACACCUUAGGCUGGUGGGGCUGCGGCAAGAAGCGGGUCUGUUUCUUUACUUCCUCCACGGAGUCGGCACACUAUGGCUGCCCUCUGGGCUCCCAGAACCCACAACAUGAAAGAAAUGGUGCUACCCAGCUCAAGCCUGGGCCUUUGAAUCCGGACACAAAACCCUCUAGCUUGGAAAUGAAUAUGCUGCACUUUACAACCACUGCACUACCUGACUCAGGAAUCGGCUCUGGAAGGUGAAGCUAGAGGAACCAGACCUCAUCAGCCCAACAUCAAAGACACCAUCGGAACAGCAGCGCCCGCAGCACCCACCCCGCACCGGCGACUCCAUCUUCAUGGCCACCCCCUGCGGCGGACGGUUGACCACCAGCCACCACAUCAUCCCAGAGCUGAGCUCCUCCAGCGGGAUGACGCCGUCCCCACCACCUCCCUCUUCUUCUUUUUCAUCCUUCUGUCUCUUUGUUUCUGAGCUUUCCUGUCUUUCCUUUUUUCUGAGAGAUUCAAAGCCUCCACGACUCUGUUUCCCCCGUCCCUUCUGAAUUUAAUUUGCACUAAGUCAUUUGCACUGGUUGGAGUUGUGGAGACGGCCUUGAGUCUCAGU
rnacentral:lncRNA from 1 species